rnacentral:rRNA from 1 species
GAUGAACGCUAGCGGCAGGCCUAAUACAUGCAAGACGAACGGUAAGUUGAGUAGCAAUACUUAGCCAAGAGUGUCGUACGGGUGCGUAACACGUAUGCAACCUACCCUAUACAGGAGGAUAGCCUAGGGAAACCUGGAUUAACCCUUCAUAGUAUUAUUGGAUGGCAUCAUUUGAUAAUUAAAACUGAGGUGGUAUAGGAUGGGCAUGCGUCUGAUUAGUUAGUUGGCGGGGUAAUGGCCCACCAAGACGAUGAUCAGUAGGGGUUCUGAGAGGAAGAUCCCCCACACUGGCACUGAGAUACGGGCCAGACUCCUACGGGAGGCAGCAGUAGGGAAUAUUGGUCAAUGGAUGCAAGUCUGAACCAGCCAUGCCGCGUGCAGGAAGAAGGCCUUCUGGGUUGUAAACUGCUUUUGCCAGGGGGAUAAAAUUUCCAUGCGUGGAAAACUGAAGGUACCUGGUGAAUAAGCCACGGCUAACUACGUGCCAGCAGCCGCGGUAAUC